CGGCACGGGUGAGUAACACGUAUGCAAUCCACCUGUAACAGGGGGAUAACCCGGAGAAAUCCGGACUAAUACCCCAUAAUAUGGGCGCUCCGCAUGGAGAGCCCAUUAAAGAGAGCAAUUUUGGUUACAGACGAGCAUGCGCUCCAUUAGCCAGUUGGCGGGGUAACGGCCCACCAAGCUCGAUGGAUAGGGGUUCUGAGAGGAAGGUCCCCCACAUUGGAACUGAGACACGGUCCAA
rnacentral:rRNA from 1 species